rnacentral:misc_RNA from 1 species
AAAUACGCACUUGCACUGGUCUUCGGACCUAGCAUUCGUCAACCAUUGUGAAAAUACCCGUUGCUUCGGCGGCAGGCGCUCGCGCUGUCAGCCCGUCCGAAGCCCACCAAAACUACUUCUGUAAACUUCAGUCAGACACGAAAAGUAAAUCGUUA